rnacentral:tRNA from 1 species
ACCUGGCUGGCUCAGUCAGAGAAGCAUGAGACUUUUGAUCUUGGGGUUGUGAGUUCAAGCCCCAUGUUGGGUA